GGCCUUAUGGUCUAGUAGCAUGAUUCUUCCUUUGGGUGAUUUCCUUUCGGGGAUUACGUAAUAAAGUGGAAGAGGUCCUGGGUUCAACUCCCAGUGAGGCCC